rnacentral:lncRNA from 1 species
CUUAUCAGAGUUUUCCUCCAAACCUCCUCCUUGCUUCUCCUCCCCCAGUUCCUUCUUCUGGCAAUCUCUCCAGGGGCAUUCUAAUUCUGUGGACCAGGUCUUUUUUUUACAACCACCUGGGAAUGCCGCCUUCAGGGACCUGAGGCUGAGGGUUACAUAAAAGCCCAGCAGAGCUCUGGGUCCAGCACCCCCAGGACCUGCCACAUGCCUCCACACCUUCAAGAGGCUCCUGCACUCCCCACCGGCACCAUGCUCAGGACGGCCUUGGUCCUCUCUGCUUGGUUCGGUCUGGCUGUGACUUACCCCGUCGCAUUCCAGCAAUUCAUCACUGACCAAGUUGUUAUCAUUGACCAGGAGUCAACCUCUGACCUAAAAUUGACUACUGCUCUAGAGUCUACCCCUGCCCUUGAGUUAACCACUGUCCUAGACUCAACCACUAUUCUAGAAGUGGCCACUGCCCUAGAGUCAACCUCUGACCUAUCAGACUCCAGCACAGCCCUAGAGUUGACCACUGUCCUAGAGUCAGCCACUUCCCUAGAGUCAAACUCUGUGCUAGAGUCAACCACUGCCCUAGAAUUUACCACUUCCCUAAAGUCAACCACUGACUUACCAGACUCAACCACUGCCCUAGAGUCAACCACUGCCCUAGAGUCAACCCCUGCCCUAGAGUUGACCUCUGCCCUAGAGCCAACCACUGACCUACCAGACUCAACCACUGCCCUGGAGUUAACCACUGCCUUAGUGUCGACCACUGCUCUAGAGUCGGCCACUCCUCUAGAGUUAGCUACUGCCCUCAAGCUGACUACUGCCCUCGAGUCAACUACUGACCUACUAGACUCAACCACUGAUCUAGAGUCGACCACCUACCUAGAGUCAACCAGUGCCCUAAAAUUGACUAGUGCCCUAGAGUCGACCACUGCCCUAGAGUCUACCACUGCCCUAGAGUCAACCACUGACUUACCAGACUCCUCCACUGCCCUAGAGUCGACCACUGCCCUAAAGUCAGCAACUGCCCUAGAGUCAACCACUGCCCUGCCAGACUCAACCACUGAUCUAGAGUCAACCACUGCCGUAGAGUCAACCACUGACUUACCAGACUCGACAACUGCCCUAGAGUCAGCAACUGCCCUAGAGUCAACCACUGCCCUGCCAGACUCGACCACUGCCCUAGAGUCAACCAGUGCCCUAGAGUCAGCAACUGCCCUAGAGUCAACCACUGCCCUGCCAGACUCGACCACUGCCCUAGAGUCAACCAGUGCCCUAGAGUCAGCAACUGCCCUAGAGUCAACCACUGCCCUGCCAGACUCGACCACUGCCCUAGAGUCAACCAGUGCCCUACAGUCAGCAACUGCCCUAGAGUCAACCACUGCCCUGCCAGACUCGACCACUGAUCUAGAGUCAACCACUACCUUAGAGUUGACCACUGCCCUAGAAUUGACCACUGCCCUAGAGUUGACCACUGCCCUAAAGUCAUCCACUGCCCGAGAGUCAACUACUGUCCUAGAGUUGGCCACUGCGCUAGAGUCGACCACUGAUCUAAAGUCAGCCACUGCCCUAGAGUCGACCACUGCCCUAGAGUCAACCACUGCCCUGGAAUUGACAACUGCCCUAGAGUCGGCCACUGCUCUGGAGUCUACCACUGAUCUCCCAGACUUGACCACUGAUCUAGAGUCAACCACUUACCUGCUAGAAUCUACCACUGCCCCAGAGUCAGCUGUUGUCCUAGAGUCAACCACUGCUCUCGAGUUGACCACUGCCCUCAAAUCGAACACUUCCCUAGAGCUGACCACUGACGUGUAUUUGAAGAACACGCAGGCUUUUGAAUUGUCUACUGGUGUGGAAUCAAACACCCUCAGCUUUGAGAAAAAAGCCACUGAGGCCACAGCAAAUGUCACCAGUGUUUAUUCUGAAGAGCCCAUGACUAAAGCACCAGAUGAGCCCAUCACUUCCAAAGGAACCAAUGAGUCUGUCUCAGGGCUUUUUUAAAAUGAAACAAAUGCUCCAUUAGCUGUGCUGACCACCCUGCUACUCACUACUUUCUAAGAAGAUUCUGAGCUUCAGAACACGCUACUGCUACACGAUAGAGGACUGCAUAAUCACAGAAACGAGUGAAACAUAGAAUGGUGUUCCCAGCCCAGCAGAAACAACAAGGCAUUGAUGCUGGGCUGAGUGGCAAGAACUUGACAUGUGGGUGCAUUUCUUAACCAGUUUUCAUUUAAUAUGAGUUCAAUAAAUAUUCGUUUUAAUUAAAUUUUGAGAGCUGU